ensembl:lincRNA
UAUAGGAGGUGGCAGGUGUGCCACUGGCCGGGGAAUGAGCGGGAUCUGUCAGUGACAAGAUCUCAGGACAGGGCCAGACAGUUUCCAGGGCUCCGCACACGGGCCUUCUCAUGGGCUCCCGUGGGAAGUGGACAGUGUAACGAAGGCCAGACACCACACGAAGCUCACUACAGUGAGUUUCCUCAAAGCCUACACUUUCUCGGACAUGGUGUGUACUUGUAUGUUUGUUUUUACCCUUUUUUACUCUUGUUUGGCCCAGUUGACUCUGCAGAGCUGGUUUCUCCCAUACCUACCGCUCCCCAGCACUUUUCAAAUCAACUUUUAGUGCCAUUUUUGGUUGUCCCAGCCAGUUUUUGGUUUGAGGCAAAAAGGGGUGAACAUCCAACUGGACUGGGUAAGUCAGAGGCAGAAGGUGGAAAGGGGCCACAGCUUCCCUGGAGUCAAUGCUGUACAGAGCAUUCUCCAUCCAGAGGCCUCCAGUGCUGAUUCCAGUGCUGAUUCUUCACCGAAAGAACACUGCUGCUUCUGGUACCUCAGCAAAGGUAGCAAUGAUCAAAGGAACAGAACACACUCACUGUCUUUGCCCACGGUCUCCACAGUGGUGACAAUGCUCUAAAUUCCCUGGAAAUAAGAUAAUUAACCCCAGUCAACCCCGCUACCUAAGGAUGGUCCUCAGCACUCAUCCCGGGAUUGGCCCUGGCACCCAGAGUGGGUUGGUCCUACCAAUGUGUUUUAUUUGGCAUCCUUGGUCUUUUUUAAAAAUAAAACUUAAAAUUAGCUGACAGAAUUUAUCAACUGCAAUAUUUGACACAAAAAUCUGAAGUUCUUACUUCUCAAAAUAUCAGCCAGAUGUGGUAGCUCAGACCUACAAUCCCAGAACUCUGGAAGGCUGAGGCAGGAGGAUUCCAAGUUAAGGCCCAAGCUGAGCAAGUUUAGCAAGAUCUUAUCUCAAAACAGAAAAUAGAAAAGAGCUGGGGUACUGUUCAAUGCAAAGACCCUGGGUCCAACCCUUAGUACCAAAUAAGUAAAAAAAUAAAAAUCUGGCCAGACCCAUGUACUGACUUCCUCUCCAGCCAAUCUGGAAUGCCUACUAUCCCUAUCCUAUGACACCUUCUGGCCCUGAAGUCACUUAGGUCAUGACACAAAGCUUAGACUGCACUAGACAGUGAACUACUUGUGAGCUCUCUGACUUAGAUUAUGAGGUCUGAAUAAUAUUCAGCUAAAAUUAACUGUCCCCUCAUGAAGAAAAUUAAUUACUGCCAGGCAUGGUGGCAGACGCCUGUAAUCCCAGCACCUGGGAUGCUGAAGCAAGAGGAUCCCUGUGAGUUCAAAGCCAGCCUGGCCUACCCAGUGAGGUCAAGGCCAAUCUUGAACUAUGGAGCAAGUUCCUGUCUUAAAAGAAAGAAAGUGUUACUCACCAGCUCAAUGUCACGAAUAGGAUUUCAAGAGGAAAGAUUUUAAGGCGGCUUCCUUCUAACACUCCAGCAGGGAAGAUGAGCACAGCCAGAAGGUUUGGCAGCAGGGACAGCUGGGCACAGGUGGUGGGACAGGCAGAGACCCUGCGCUGAGAGAGGCAGGACUGCUGUGUUGGCUUUCCCCUCGCUACUUAGGAGACCCUGAGCGUUUCCUUCACUGUCAGCGCAGCAGCCUGGAAGAGAUCAGUGAAAAGUCAGAGCCAGGAUCUACUGAGUGUUUGCUGCGUGCAAAGCGCUGUGCUGAGAGCUUUGUC